rnacentral:sRNA from 2 species
UUCGAUUCGAGCGCAGCGAGAACGCGUUGCCGCAGGCAACGACCCGAAGGGCGAAGCGCGCAGCGCUGAGUCAUCCUUCCCCCACCACCA